rnacentral:lncRNA from 1 species
AUCCUCCUUCGCUCUCCAUCUUGCUACUAUCUAGAUCUACUCUAGUUUAGAGAAGAGAGGAGAUCUCUCAUCUCUAAACCCUAGCUUUUGCUCUGUCUAUGAAUAAUGAAUAAUGAUCAAGGGGUUGCCUCCUCCAGUGUCCAGGGGGUCUGGUUUUAUAGUCCCCUCAAGUGAACCUGGGCCGUCGGAUCAAACCGACAUUGAUUGAACGGUUAUUCUUGAUCCUUUAGGUCGGUGGAGCAUAAUCCACGAGAUUGAGCGUGAUUGGCCACAGGAGGUGGGCGGGCGCCCAGUAGGACAGGGCGGGCGCCCUGUCUCUGGCCCCGAUUCGCCUCCGCUUCGGUCUCGUGGCUUCUGGAGUCUUCUAGAUGUAAGAUAAUUGCGCGGCACGUUAAUAUCUUUACGUAAUCCCGACGUGUGGGCCUUUCUUCCUUAUUUCCUGAUAACCCCCUGCAGAAAUAGACAAACACCAAAACUCGUGGAAUUCUGUCAGAUAAAACCCUAAGUCUUGAUGUUGAUUUCAUUUGGAUCCUUUUCUUUGUUUAUUUGAUAGUUAAAUUUGAUACUUAAGGACCGUCAACAAACUCCCCCAAGCUUACCUCUUGCUCAUCCCUGAGCAAGGAUAGACUCAGCUAUGGAUCAUAAGUUGUUGCAAUAUCUUUAAAAUUGAUGGUACACAUGCUUUUAAAUGAGGUCUCAUCUCUGAGUUAGAGUAAACUGUCAAGACUUAAAACUUACUUACUUUACCUUUCACCAUGGGACUUGUAACCGUCACUUCUGUCUUGAGUGGUUAAAAGAUAGAACAGUCCAGUCAAGUGCCAUGUCUCUUAUUCUUGAUCAGCUAUAGCUCUGGAGUUUUUGCAAAUUUUCAAAUAAAACUCAGAGAUUCCUUUGUAUGACUCUCUCAUAUCUCUCUUUUGUGGUAUUUCUGGAUCCUUACCAAGGCAGUGAUGGUAUAUGCCUUCUCUCAAAAUAUGUGGUAUUUGUGGUAUAAGGGAUAGUGACAUUGUCUUCUCUCUCACCCUACUCUAAUAAGGCUUUAAUAUCUGGAGCUCAUAGGUGGGAGAUAAAAUAUACAUACUUACAAGACAUUUAUUGUAUAGUCAAACCAUGGAUCCAAAGAAACAAAUCAAUAAGCCAAAUCAAGAUGUGCAUGUGUGGCGAAUGAAUAGUGUAUGGUGAUGAUGGUGAUAACAAUGGUGAAAGUCUAAUUCUACUUUUGCUCUUUUGAGGGGAUACAUACCUUCCUUGCUUUUUGAAACUUUAUGAGGAGAAUGAGAUGCUCUUCUUUUUCUUUUCUCUCAGAUGGGUAUCCUGUACCCCUAAUUCUACUGUCGGACACUUGUCCAUUUUUACCUCUCGUCUCACUCUUUUUCUUUUCUUUCGAGGUUUCGGGCACUUGCCCCUUUUUAUUUCCUCGUUUAUUAUUUUUUUUUCUUCUUUUUUUUUCUUCUUUUUUUUCAGAGCACUCAUCUCUUGAGAUAAUAUAGCAAGUGGUAGUAGCAAGAUAACUUGAGCAUUUAUUUCACAAGGGAAAAACACAGAUGUUUUUGGCUAUUCUCUCCCGAAUUAGGAGUAGAAUAUUUUUAGGUGAUUCUGGAGAUGGAAAUGGAUGGAUAUACGUGGAUGGUACUUCCGGAGUAGAAGUAGCAUAUAUAUGAGUGAACGUGCAAGUGAAUCUUGAUUUAACCACAUGACAAGCUCCUAAGGGUCUACACAGCUUGACCACACUCAAUGCUCAUAAGCAGUAAAUAAUAAAUGUGUGGCUCAAAGUCUAGCAAGCAUGUAUAUAUGGCUGUGGUAGGAAUUUAAACUUUCAUCAUACAGGAACUCAUCAUGCAACAUUUUAAAGAUUUUUCAAAGAUAAAAUUCUCCAGAAUUCUAGCAUCUCUAGGAAUAGAUAAACAGCAGCGCAACCUUCCCAUAUCAUAUCCGUUAACAACUUAGAUUUCAGAUCAAGUUUUCAUCCCACAAGUUUAGAUCUAGAGCAAGCUUUAAAUUAUAACAGUUAUGUCUAAACUUGAGAGAGAACUUCAAAUUUGCAAAUUAGGCAAAGCAACUAUUCAUCAUAUCCAUGCUAGAGUUUUAUUAUUAAGAUUAGCAUAGCCACUUUAUUUAUUUAUUAAACACACUAAGCAAAAGAUAUAUAUAUAUAAGCACAAAAUCUUUAUUUGGUUUUUCAUAGUUUAUGUAUUUUAAUAUUCUAAUAUAAUAUAAGUAUAAAGAUAGGUAGAAAUACUUAGCGAGAUAAAUGGGGGUGCUCUCCCCCAAGCUGAAUUUUGACGUAAUUUCUCUUGAUGUAGCUAGCAGGUGGCAGAGGUGUAUUUGAAAGUCAGCAGCAUUCUGACAGCGAUUAGAAUGUCCUCCGUCUGCUAGUCUUCUUGAUUCUUAAAUUCUGUGGAGCUCAAAUAGACAACAAAGCUUGUGGAACUAAUUAAGUGUUAGCAUAAAUAUCUAGCCUGCAUCACGUUGAGCUUCCUCAAUAAAUAUUACUCCCUGUUUUUAUAUUUUUAUUUUAUAAAGUAGAAAAGAAAUAUUUAUUUUAUUUUUAUGCCACCACAGUGAAGGUACUUAUGGGUUUUAUGCCACUCGUAUACUAACAUGGGGCUUAGUAUUUUUUAACAUUUUUAUUUUCUUUUCAAGAUAGCAUGAUUAACUAAUAAUCUAUUUAAGGAAAGUAAAUAAUUAAAUGGAAAAGGGAAUGCAGAAAGGAUAAAUAUGGAUAACUACCAAUCUUACCUUUCGGCGAGGGUUCAAAGUUUUAAGUCUUCUUGUCAAGACUUCUCAUCGUGUUCAUUCUUCAGGUGCGUCAUUUGAUUCAGGUGCGGACCUUGACGUCUGCACCUUUUAAUACGGUGUCACCCAUGUUCUUCGUUUGCCCAGCAGUUCGAAGUGCGGUGUUAGCAGUGUCUUGCUCAGUGUGUUUGUGCUCGUAGUGUACCUGCUCAUAGAGACAAGGCAGAGAUCAAGUGCAUGGGCCCUGUUGGUGGAAAACACCAACAGAACCAAAAGUGUAUUUGUUCUUCUCUAACCUUAAGCAUAUUGAGCAAGACAAGUUGAUGGAUGAUAAGUUCAUGAGUGUAGCACUUAUAACAUUUGUCAGAUCAGAUCGCUCAACCUUAUGGAAAGAUAAUCUAUCUAUGUAUAUGUCUUUUUCUUUAUAUCUCUCAAUGAUUGAAUGUGUAACAUUUUAGCUCAUAUGAUUAGGAGUGUGGGAUCAUGGAGGUAGUACUAAGAACAAGGAUUAAAGGACUAAACAUGUUGAAUCAGUUGGGUUGGUUAAUCUAGAGUUGUAAAUCAUACACGUUUGUCUCUUUUAUUUAUAUGAACGCCAGAACCAAGGAGAAGCUUAUAAAGGCGAUAGUCAAGUACCUUAAGAUGUUACCUUGCUCGAAGAGUGAUGGUACAGUAUCAUCUUGUGGAAGCUUUCCUUUCUUAGCGGUUGUGCGUCGUGUUUGUGGCACCCUCCAUGGAUCAUCUCUCUAUGAUGAAUGAGCUAUGUCCUUCUUGUGCAAAUUGUUAAACUUCAUGUGUCACUCUCUUCGUCUCUGAUGUGAGUUUAUCUCAGGACUUCCCAAAUCGAUAUUGAAAGCUUUUCUCCAGGGGUUAGUCCGACAAAAUAUACCAAUAUCUACUCAAGUAGUUUUUUUAGUUCAAUAACCAAACUAGACUCCAUGUCUAAUCAGAUUAAGGAAGGCUAUUUAACCUAAGCACCAUGCUUAAUUUAAAUGCCAAUGGAAGUAUGGCUAGUACUUCCAAACCAACACUUGCUAGUAAAUAGACAAAGGUAGCAUGACAGCGUUUAUAGAGAUCUACUCAAGUGGAGAUGAAGUAGUGUGAUUAGUAUUUAACAAAUUGAGCAUGUCUCAAAGGUAGG